rnacentral:lncRNA from 10 species
AAAAACCAAAAAAUUAUGCUAAAUUAGGAUGAGAAAACUUUUUCUGUAAAAGGUCAGAUAGGCUGGACACAGUGGCUCACGCCUGUAAUCUCGGCACUUUGGGAGGCUGACUGGGGAGGAUGGUUUGAGGCCAGGAGUUGAAAACCAGCCUAGGCAAGAGAGCAAGAACUCGUCUCUAAAAUAAAUUAAAAAAAAAAAAAAUUAAAAGCCCACAUAGUAAAUGUUUUAAACUUUGCAACGCAUUCGGUCUCUCUAUCACAGCUGCUGAACUCUACUAUUGUAGCACAUAAGAAACCACAUGCAAUGCUUAAGGAAUGAACAUGGUUGUAUUCCAAUAUAACUUCAUUUACAAAAACACACAGAGGCCUGGAUUUGGCUCACAGGCUGUGGUGUGCUGACCCCUGUACUAAGAGAAAGAAGUAGUCCUCACAGACACAGAUUGUUUUAAAUUUCUUUGUAAGCCUCAUAGCACUUAGCUAAGGGCUAAGGCUAACUACCAAGUCAAUGCGUAAAAAAGAAAUCAAGAUAAUCAGAUAAAGAAAAAUUACCUGUGGAUCUGAUCUUGUCUGCUAGAGCGAACUGGAGCUAAUCCAUCUAUUUCAUCAAAAAAUAUUAUAGAAGGUCUCAUCAAAUAUGCCUAGUAAGAAGAAAACAAAUAAUAUUUAUUGUAUUUGUUUUCAUUUUUAAAAUUUAUUAUAUUUUCUUAAUAGGUAAUAAAAGCAAAUGGUACAACAUGCAGCAGGUAUGAAGGAGUAUAUAGCAACGAGGAAAUCUUACCACCCAGUUUCCAACAACCAUGUCUCCUCCAGUAAGCAACUACUGUUUUCAGUUUGUUUAUUCUUCCAUACAUACUUAUACACAAACCAAAGUGUAUUUUUUUUUUUUUUUUUUUUGAGACGGAGUCUCGCUCUGUCACCCAGGCUGAAGUGCAGUGGCACGAUCUCGGCUCACUACAAGCUCCGUCUCCCAGAUUCACACCAUUCUCCUGCCUCAGCCUCCUGAGUAGCUGGGACUACAGGCGCACACCACCACGCCCGGCUAAUUUUGUUGUAUUUUUUAGUAGAGACAGGGUUUCACCACGUUAGUCAGGAUGGUCUCGAUCUCCUGACCUCGUGAUCUGCCCGCCUCGACCUCCCAAAGUGCUGGGAUUACAGUUGCUGUGAGCCGAGAUUGUGCCACUGCACUCCAGCCUGGGUGACAGAGCGAGACUCAGCCUC